rnacentral:rRNA from 1 species
UACGUAGGGGGCAAGCGUUGUCCGGAUUUAUUGGGCGUAAAGAGCGUGUAGGCGGCCAGGCAGGUCCGUUGUGAAAACUCGAGGCUCAACCUCGAGACGCCGAUGGAAACCGUCCGGCUAGAGUCCGGAAGAGGAGAGUGGAAUUCCUGGUGUAGCGGUGAAAUGCGCAGAUAUCAGGAAGAACACCCGUGGCUAAGGCGGCUCUCUAGUACGGUACUGACGCUGAGACGCGAAAGCGUGGGGAGCGAACAGG